GUCCUUUGAUUUUGGGGAAUAUAGAAGACAAGUGGACCUUUUAAUACAUGCUAGUGGACGAAAGCUAUGGUAACAAGGCGGAAGUUUGCGAACAGGUGAGGAAAUCCGGGGCCCAAGCCUCAGAGUUGGGCCGGAGUCGUAUUAGGUAGAAGGCGGUGUAAAGGACCACCUUGCCGAAGAUGCGCCGCUUUAACCCGAAGCCACACUUGCACUGAAACAAGGGGAAGACUCAGGACGUCCUUUUGGGCGAGGCAGCAGUAGAGAAUCUUGUGCAAUAUACGAAAGUAUGACACAGAGAGCACACAUCCACCUAGUCCGUCAAAUUAAGUGCCAGCAGACGCGGUUAGACUUAAGGGCUAGCCUUUAUAGGUAACAAGGCGUAAAGGGUGUGUAGGCCCCCGUUAGAGCCUUAAGAGGGUAAAUGAAAUUUUUCUGUAACGGUAGAAUGUGUAGAUAGAAAAUAGAACUCCAAAGGCUAAGGCAAUUUACCUCAGAUAAAACACUACUACGAGAGCGAAGCUCUUUUAUGGGGCUGAAACACGAAAGUGUGGGGAGCAAACAGGAUUAGAGACCCUGGUAGUCCACACUGUGAACUAUGAAGAAAAUGUUAAGCAACUCUGAAAGGUAAUAAAUCUUCCGCCUGAGUAGUACGAUCGCAAGAUUAAAAUUCAAAGAAUUUGACUGUUCACUGUUUCGAUUAGAGGAGCGUGUAGUUUAAUUCGAUAAUCCGCGAGAAACCUUACCCAAACUCGAACCGCUAGACCGGUAUUGCAUGGCCGUCGUCAGUUCGUGUGUGAAACUUAAAACGGACUCAACCCGAGGGCAAGUCUCUCGGAUGAAGUCAGGUCUUAUGAUCCUAAUGUUUGGGGAUUAUAUGCGCUACAUUUUCUUAUACAAUGGGAGACCCGGGCGGUGAAACCCAAAAGUAAGAGUUCGGAAGGUAACUGUAAUACGGCCGAAAGUUGGAUUUAAUAGUAAUCGGAAAGUAGAGCGUUCCGGUGAAUUGGUGCAAGUGUUAGUACAAAUCGCCCGUCACCUUUGCCAAGGACGAUAGUUCGGAAGCCGCCCUGUUGUGGCGGUUACGAAUAUCUACGAGGUUGAGCAAGUCGUAACAUAGUGAGGGAGGGGGAACCCUCCCUUG
rnacentral:rRNA from 1 species